rnacentral:lncRNA from 1 species
CACAGGCAGUUUGUCUCACUGUUGGAAGAGACAGAGUCGGGUAAUGCAGAUCUCUCCUACCACACAAACGAGUUUGGGGAAGGUGUUUAAAAGGGUGUGGGACCUGAAGCCGGAGAUUGCUGAGUUUUCGCAAAUGAAAGGAAUACAUGUGGAUUUCCCUUAACUGCAAGAUAAAGAAUGGUUGGCUGAUUUUGCCUUCACCGUGGACAUCAUGGCCCUCAUGAAUGAACUGAAUUCCAAACCACAAGGGAAGGGCCUUUUUGCAUAUCAGAUGCACAACCUUGUCAAAGCCUUCAAGGGAAAAUUACUCCUCCUGACCCACCAAGUAGAAGCCAACAAUGUCACCCACCUUCCGACAAUACUAGUCUGUUCCCUAUCCCUGUGGCUCAGUUGGUAGAGCAUGGUGUGUGCAACGCUAGGGUUGUGGGUUCAAUUCCCACGGGGGGCCAGUACAAUGUUUUUUUUUUUAAAUGCAUGAAAUGUAUGCAUUAACUACUGUAAGUCGCUCUGGAUAAGAGCGUCUGCUAAAUAACUAAAAUGUACAUGUGAAGAUGACCAGCAGGAGAAGUAUACAUCGCUGCUGCAUUGAACGUAUUCUUCCUUACUCUCCGUCCCUCUCACCCUAUAUCUUUCUAUCUCUACCCCCCUCUCCUUCAGCCCCCCUCCAUCUCUCUCUCAUUCUCUCGGCUUUUCCUCCUCUCCAUCUCUGCAGCUGCGAUCCUCCAAGCCCUAUUCCCCGCCACCUCCCCUGUGUGCUGGAACGCCGUCCAACAAUUUAACCGCAGCUCUGAAACAAUCGAACAUCUGUUUGGAGGCCGGCCCAGGCGCUUCCUGCUGAGAGUGCACCAGCCACCGCCGUGUUAACCCCUCGCCUCCUGGCACGGUCAGACAGGCCACAAUCCACCAUGCCAGCACACACUCACACACACUAAGACGCGUACAUGUACAUGCAUAUACACAACACUGGAGUCUCUGCCAUAGGAAAAUUGAGAAAUGCAUACCAGGCCACCACUGUGUGUGUGUGUGAGG